rnacentral:lncRNA from 1 species
GUUUUAUUUAUAAAAUUGGUUUUGCAUGAUGGAUAUAAAAAUUUCAAUCAUAUUGACUUUAUUCAAGGCUUACAGGACGACAAAUCCAUUCAACAUAUAAAUGAUAUUAACAAAAAAUAGGUAUUUGGAAAUAUCUCUAUCCAAUUCGAAGGUUUAUACAUGGCGAUUCAAUUGAAAAAGGGAACACAACCUAGCAUCAAUCAUGUACACCAGUUUAGGUGAUUAGUGUAAGUAGUUAGGAAAUUUUAGUGUUGUUUUUUUUUGUCUAUGUAAACAAUUAAAUUGAAAACCAAUUUUGUAACAUUCUAUCCUUCACGUUAGGUUUUUUUCUAAAAGC